rnacentral:tRNA from 1 species
GAAACUUUAAGUUAUGAAGACUAUAAUAUUUCAAGUAUUAAAGAGGCUGUUUUGUCAUGUUUUG